AGUGAACGCUGGCGGUAGGCCUAACACAUGCAAGUCGAACGGCAGCACAGUAAGAGCUUGCUCUUACGGGUGGCGAGUGGCGGACGGGUGAGGAAUACAUCGGAAUCUACUUUUUCGUGGGGGAUAACGUAGGGAAACUUACGCUAAUACCGCAUACGACCUACGGGUGAAAGCAGGGGAUCUUCGGACCUUGCGCGAUUGAUUGAGCCGAUGUCGGAUUAGCUAGUUGGCGGGGUAAAGGCCCACCAAGGCGACGAUCCGUAGCUGGUCUGAGAGGAUGAUCAGCCACACUGGAACUGAGACACGGUCCAGACUCCUACGGGAGGCAGCAGUGGGGAAUAUUGGACAAUGGGCGCAAGCCUGAUCCAGCCAUACCGCGUGGGUGAAGAAGGCCUUCGGGUUGUAAAGCCCUUUUGUUGGGAAAGAAAAGCAGCAGGUUAAUACCCCGCUGCUCUGACGGUACCCAAAGAAUAAGCACCGGCUAACUUCGUG
rnacentral:rRNA from 1 species